AUCGAUAAGACCCUCACAGAUUGUUCAAAAAAAAGAAAGAGGUUGUGUGUUAUGAAUUGUAGAAAGAAGGUUACAAAACGACUGCACUGAUGGAAGUAGCAUACAUGUGAUUUUUCCUUGCGGGUUACAUACCAGAUGACGCAUUGCUAAAUGACUCUGAGUACUGCGCUAAACAAUUACCUUAAAACUUUUCACCAGUUUUGUCACUCUUCCUUGCUGCCCCGUAUAUUGCUUACGCAGUUUCAAAAACAAUGUUACCUCUCUUUUAAUAAGCUUACUGACUCUUAAAGUAUCAAUAAUAAACUAAACAAUAAACGAAAUUUCACUUUGAUCAUUAUCAAACAUGAUAAAACAAAAUAUUUCUUCAAAAUUUUACUCUUCAAGGAAUUUGAAAAGCAAAUAAUUAUAAGGCUAGCAUCUUUUUGCAAUUAACUAUUAGCUGUUGAUGAUACACAAACAUUACAACAGAGACAAUCAAUAUUGCAAGGGUGAGCCCGUUUUUUACACGGUUAGCUAAUUGAAGCAUUACCGUAUUGAAAAUAGUAACAGCUAGUUCGAAUACUAAAAAAAUUUUUAGACCAGCCUUACUAUCUCGAGAAUUGCUGAUAUAUUGCAGCAAAUGAUCACAAAAGUAACAUAUAGCAAAUAGAACAUGGAAAGUACAGCGGAUCGUCAGAACAUUGAAGAUAAACAUUUCAUUAAUUCUUAAGAAUUA